UAAUUAAUGGCAACAACAAAGCUCUAGCAUAAGGCAAAGCUAACCUAUGCUGCAUCCAUACCCCAUCUUAAUCAGAAUUGCUUAAUCAGAAUUGUUUCAAUGGUGUAAGAUCAUCAUAGUGGAAUUACACAUGUUUAUGUGCUGGGGGUUUUUUUUGGUUUUUUAAAAAAGUAUCAGCGACCAUUUGAGUUGCCAUGCAAUGUGAUGAAAGUUGCGAUGUGAUAAAAGUGGCAAGAUGCAGUCACUUGACCCAUCUGGUGGCUCUGGAGGUGAAGAUCUGUGGGAUAAAAGGUGGGUUCAAAACCAGCUAAGUGUGCUAAUUCUGAUAAUAGCUUUGAAUGCGUCUGGUAGAAAAUGGAGAAGCUGGCAAGAAUUAUUUACAUGUAUGAAUUUUUGAUUUGACUGUAAAAGGGGUGUAACAAUUUCUGCAUUUAUGCGAGCAAGAACGCUAACACUAUCCCUUGGGCUUGUAAUAGGGAGGGGUGGUAGAGAGGAUAUAAGUAGAUAAAAGCCUGCAAUCAUAAAAGCCUGUAAAAGCCUAUUUUUAAAAGCCUGUAGCCAUGAGUCUUAUGAAAAAAUCAUGAGCAUUUGGACUUUCAUUCUUUAAAAUGUUCCUAGCCCUCAGGUUUGCACAGAUAAGUUCAAUGGUGUGACUGUACUGAGCUAAUAUGCAUAAUUUAUUCCCAUUUCAGAAUGCAUGUUUUCAAGGUAGGUGGGAAGGAGAGCCCAAGAAAUCCAAGGUCCACUGGUUAUAGAGGACCAAAUUUCUGCAGGGUUGUUUGGAGGAUAAAGGGCGGGAGCAGAAAGGGGAAAACACAGAGCACUGGGAGAAGGGGCAGGAUAAAAGUGUAAAUUAAUUCAGAGAGAAAGUGAUUUCUGAUAUGCUAGGAGAGCUUUUAAAAAAAUGAAGAAGGGAUGUAGCUCGGCGGUGGGGCAGCCGUUUUGGACGCAGAAGGUUCAGUUCCAGAAUUGCCAGGUAGGUCUGGAAGAGAUGUCUGCCUGGAGAUCUGCGGCCAGUCAGUGCAUGCAAUAUUGACCUUAGAAGGACCAGUGCUCUGAUUCAGUACAAGGCAGCUUCCUUCUUCCUAACUGGCCCACUUGUAGUCACUACAUGAAUUUAACUGAAACAGGCACUCUGGUCUUUAUACAUGCAUUGAGAAGGCUUUGAAACCCUGUUGGAUGCCCCAACCACUUAGCCACCGUAGGUCUGCAUAGCCAGCCACAGGCUUCGUUAUUUUUCAAAGUCUCUAAUUCUGGCUGGAGGCAUUUCUUGCAUUUUCUCCUUCUGCAGCAGCAGAUGGAAGCUUUGCGAAUGUGCUGAGGGUGGGCUCUUCUGUCUGUUGCUCACUCUGGUGGUGGGCUCAUGGGGUGCGGCAGCUAACUCACCGUCUAUCUGGCAAGCCCCCCUUUACAGUUUAUUAUUUUGAUUAUCUGAGUUGUAGGCAAUCCUAGACCCUGUGACAGAAGCUUUGUAGAUAGAGUCCAUGCUGUUUUAAGGUGCGUGUGCAUGUGUGUGGAGAUUGCUAAGUUUUGUCUUUUUGAAUUGCGAUCAGCUUUCAGGUAAGCAUCUUGUACGUUUUAUAUUUUAUUUCUUUGCAUGAAAACUACUGUGGGCCAGACUUAGGCAUGCAGGUAAAGUGCACCUGUGAAUGAAAAGCAGCUCAGGGGAAGCUACAGCAGACACAGGAUCAUAGCAAAGGGGAGUUUAACUCUUCCUCUACCUGUCAACAAGCAUCUCCACUCUGAUGCUGUUAUUUGCAUUUCAAGCGAUGUCCCCAUUCAUGGUUUAGAACAGGGAAGGAGAAUUGGUGGCCCUCUAGAUGUUAUUGGACCACAACUCCUAUCAUCCCUGAUCACUGGCCAUUCUGGCUGGGGCUGAUGGGAGACACUGAGGGGGGUUGUUUUUGUUUGUUACUGUGUUGUACAUUUUUGUGUUUUUAUAUUGUAAACUUUUUUGUGAUCCUCUGAUGAAUGCUGGUAUAGAAAUUGGGGGGGGGAGGGCCUCAAGCAAAAGAUUAAAAAUUAAAAUAGAAUCUAUCAAUAUCCAGAUGAUUACAAGUUCCCUCAUCCGUUGUUUAGCAGUUGCUCAAACUUCACCCUAGCUUCUAUUUACAUAAUAGGAAAAUGCACACUAACUGUGUCCAUUGAAUUAGCACCUAAUAUGGCUCAAACAAAUUUGGCCAAUUGUGCAAAGUAUAAAGAGCAAUAUUUUUUUAAGGGUAUGGCAGGCUGUUUCUUCAGGCUAGGGCUGCCAAGCUUAGCUCACAGAAUUUGCCUUCGUAACCAUUUUUAUAGCAAGUCAAGUUGCAGCAAGAAAAAUACCAAUUUUGAGCCUGGGAUCCUAUAGCUAAUCCCACUUGUUUUUCCUCAGUGGAAGCAACAUAUGUGCAGUAUACACAGGCGUCUCCGAUACCUGGAAGCCAUAGCCUCAAGAGCAAUAGUAAUCUAUACCAGUUGCUCAGAUAUUCUUCUGAAUGUCAUCCAGACUCACCUUCUGGAAGGAAAUUGAUCUGGAAAAACCUCACAAGAACUGUAGUCCUUCAUCAUGCCGCUUUAGUACAGAAAUGUGAUCUGUGGGGAGUCAUACACAACUUCCCUACUUUCUGUGUUUUCCAGCAUGGUUCAAAGUUUUGAUGGAUGUCCAUUUGAUGCAGUUUCAAUUAGGAGCUUCUGUGGAGAAAUGGAAAGCUGCUCAGAUUAAAAGCAGCUGUCUUAUGCUGAGUAAGACCACCGGUCCAUCUGGCUCAGUAUAGUCUAUGUCAGCCUCUUCCAACUUGGUGUCUUCCAAUAUAUUUUGGACUACAACUUCCAUCAGUCCUAUCCAGCUUUGCUAAUGGUCAGGGAAGAUGGCAGCUGUAGUCCCAGACAUCUGCAGGACACCAAAUUGGAGAAGGCUGGUCUGCAGUAGUGCUGUGCUGAAAGCUCAUCCAAUUUCUCAAAAGCUUUCUUUUCACGUGGAAGAAGACUUGUGUUUUUCUGCUUCAUUCUUAUGAAUGUCUCCUUAAUUUUGGUGAGUGUCAUCCAUUUGCAUUCAAGAUUUUCCCUGGGCUGCCUCUGCCUGAGACAUCUGUAAGAAGAAAUCCUCCUUCAGAACAAACUCUGUGCACAAGGACACCGAAUGCAAAUUUGGUCGCCGAAAGAUUUCUUCUAGCACUCAACUUUAAGACGUGGGCAUUUCUCAACAACAGGUGAAAUAUGACAUUCCAUAAACAAGCAUGCCCUUGCUGUGAAAGAAGUUUCAACAGAUAAUACGCCUUGAAAAAAGAUUUCAAAUGCUGCGUAGAAUUUAAUAUCGACAAAGCAACUACUUUAGUAAGGCAGCCCGUGUUCACAACUCAAUCAGGUUUCGCAGAGUUCAGAGGCAAGCUUCCCAGUGAUUUCUAUGGGAGCCAGGUCAGGCAUUUUCCUUGAAGGUCCAACUUUCUUAAGAAUUUGAGGGCACAGAGGGAUGUUAGCAGUAUAGGGCAAGUGGAGCUCUGCCCCACCAACUUCAAUCUGCUCUAAGCCUGUUCCCACCUGCCUGCCUUCUUGCAUACAUCCAGUCCAGAGGAUGACACCCCUUGGUAGCUUCCAUUUCCUCCAUCUCUGUGUUUCUCCUUUAAAAACCAGGAGGGAGCAAAAUUGGGGCAAAAUUAGAAUUAGCUGGUUCUGCAAUUGUUGACUCUGUCGCCACCUACUGUGGAACUCCCUGGCUUCCUCCCCCUCAGUUUGAAUGGGCACUAGUCACCACUGCAUGCUAGCAAUGAGGAACAGAAGUUGCAAGGAUUAUUCCUCUGCUCUUCCUCCUUAGUAGUAUUGCUAAAUUAUAAAGAGGUGCUGACAGACAGUACUGAACAAUAAUUAGACUGGUGUUUCAUUCUUCAGUCAUUGCAUUUAAAAACUUGGAAAUGUUUAUCCAAGGCACACAGAGGGCUAGUGGGAAAUAAGUUUCCUUAUUACUGCAGAAAACGGGGGGAGUAAUAAGAAACCACCCGCAGGAGGAAAAUUACUCCAUGUGUGAUUAGCUCAUAAAUAAUUAUGGAUUUGUUUUAUUCAUUACUAAUCUUUCAUUUAGUUUAUGAAAUUUAUUUAUCACUUUGCGCAACUGAAAUGAGUCCCAAAGGAGGUUUAGGUUAUAUCCACACCAUAUGUCUAAAGCACUCUUAUAGCACUUUAACAGACAUGGGUUGUCCCAAAAGAUUCAUGGGAACUGUAGUUUGUUAAGGGUGCUGGGAAUUAUAGUUCUGUGGGAGAUCUCAUGACAAGUCUCAGCACACUUAAAAAACUGUUUGAAGUGGAGACUGUGGAAUGCACAAAAAAUGUAUACGUUUCCUACAAAAGUACGAUGUGGCUGUAGCUUUUCAAGAAAAGUAAAAUAACAAAUUAAUAAGAUCCCCAGAAAAGCAAUACAAACACAGUAAAAAAAUAAAUCUGCACACAAAGUAAUAAAAAAACAAGACUAUCCACCCCACCUAACACAGGAAUGAUGACUAGAAACAGCUGCUAUAAUUUGGACCAUUAAUACAGUUCAAACGCCAGAGAAAAUAAAAAUGUUUUUGCCUGGCGCCAGAAAGAUAACAGAGUCAACGCCAGGUGAACUUCCCAGGGGACAGCAUUCCAUAAUGGGCGACUGCGUUGCCACAGAGAGGGCCCUUUCCCUCACUGCCACCCUCAAAACAUCUCUUGGAGGCGACACAAGAGAGAAGAGCCUCAAGGAAGGGCUUUGUUUUUGUUGCUUAUAACAACAAAAUUCUCUGUAUUUUGUUGCUUUGUUUUGCUUUGUUUUGCUUUAAAGAAAAGAGCAAAUAGGAGCAGAUCUAAAACCAGGCCACUAUUUCAGGCCAUCGGCUCGUUGUCUGAUCUUAUGGCAAGACUUCAGGAAAGGACCAACUCGAGGAGUUUGUCAAAAAGCCAGAUGUUACAUCUGGGAAGAGUUUGCUUACACCUUGCCAUCUGGAACUUUUUAGUGCUCUUGAUUGUUUGUUAGUUUGGGGCUUAAAAGGGGGGGGGAGCUCGCUCUAGUAAUGAUGUUUCACCAAUCAUGAUUAUGUACUCUGAAUUGCACAAGGGCAGUUGUUGUAAGUACAAGAGUAAAAUACAAAACAAAAACAUGGAUGUUGCCAAUGUUGUUCCGGCUCACGUGUGGUAAUCAGUGAAUGAACAAAUUGUUUCCAUCUA